rnacentral:rRNA from 1 species
CCUACGGGGAGCAGCAGUGAGGAAUAUUGGUCAAUGGGCGCAAGCCGGAACCAGCCAAGUCGCGGGAGGGAUGACGGUCCGAUGGAGUGUAAACCUCUUUUGUCGGGGAGCAAGGCCCGCCACGUGUGGCGGGAAGGAGAGGACCCGAAGAAAAAGCAGCGGCGAACGCCGUGCCAGCAGCCGCGGUAAUACGGAGGAUGCGAGCGUUAUCCGGAUUUCUUGGGGGGAAAGGGGGCGUAGGCGGAAGGUUAAGUCAGCGGUCAAAUGUCGGGGCUCCACACCGGCCUGCCGUUGAAACGGGUCUUCUUGCGUGAGCGAGACGUAUGCGGCCUGCGUGGUGUCGCUGU